rnacentral:rRNA from 1 species
AUGAACGCUAGCGGCAGGCUUAAUACAUGCAAGUCGUGGGGCAACAGGUCCAUAGCAAUAUGGAUGCUGGCGACCGGCAAACGGGUGCGGAACACGUACACAACCUUCCUUUAAGUGGGGAAUAGCCCGGGGAAACCCGGAUUAAUACCCCGUAACAUAAUGAAGUGGCAUCGCUUAUUAUUAUAGCUCCGGCGCUUAAUGAUGGGUGUGCGGCUGAUUAGGCAGUUGGCGGGGUAACGGCCCACCAAACCUACGAUCAGUAACUGGUGUGAGAGCACGGCCAGUCACACGGGCACUGAGACACGGGCCCGACUCCUACGGGAGGCAGCAGUAAGGAAUAUUGGUCAAUGGACGCAAGUCUGAACCAGCCAUGCCGCGUGAAGGAUGAAGGUCCUCUGGAUUGUAAACUUCUUUUAUUUGGGAAGAAAUUCCUGCAUUCUUGCAGGAUUGACGGUACCAAGUGAAUAAGCACCGGCUAACUCCGUGCCAGCAGCCGCGGUAAUACGGAGGGUGCAAGCGUUAUCCGGAUUCACUGGGUUUAAAGGGUGCGUAGGUGGGUAGGUAAGUCCGUGGUGAAAUCCUGCAGCUUAACUGCAGAACUGCCGUGGAUACUAUUUAUCUUGAAUACCGUGGAGGUCAGCGGAAUAUGUCAUGUAGCGGUGAAAUGCUUAGAUAUGACAUAGAACACCAAUUGCGAAGGCAGCUGGUUACACGGAUAUUGACACUGAUGCACGAAAGCGUGGGGAUCAAACAGGAUUAGAUACCCUGGUAGUCCACGCCCUAAACUAUGGAUACUCGACAUUUGCGAUAAACUGUAAGUGUCUGAGCGAAAGCAUUAAGUAUCCCACCUGGGAAGUACGAUCGCAAGAUUGAAACUCAAAGGAAUUGGCGGGGGUCCGCACAAGCGGUGGAGCACGUGGUUUAAUUCGAUGAUACGCGAGGAACCUUACCUGGGCUAGAAUGCUGAUGGACCGUGGGUGAAAGCUCACUUCCCCGCAAGGGGCUGUCAGUAAGGUGCUGCAUGGCUGUCGUCAGCUCGUGCCGUGAGGUGUUGGGUUAAGUCCCGCAACGAGCGCAACCCCCAUCACUAGUUGCCAUCAGGUAACGCUGGGAACUCUAGUGAAACUGCCGUCGUAAGACGUGAGGAAGGAGGGGAUGAUGUCAAGUCAUCAUGGCCUUUAUGCCCAGGGCUACACACGUGCUACAAUGGGGUGUACAAAGAGCAGCAACACGGCGACGUGAAGCCAAUCUCAAAAAACAUCUCUCAGUUCAGAUUGAAGUCUGCAACUCGACUUCAUGAAGCUGGAAUCGCUAGUAAUCGCAGAUCAGAACGCUGCGGUGAAUACGUUCCCGGGCCUUGUACACACCGCCCGUCACAUCACGAAAGUGGGUGAUACUAGAAGCCGUCCCGCCAACCCGCAAGGGGGCAGACGUCCAAGGUAUGACUCA